UACGUAGGAGGCGAGCGUUGUCCGGAAUUAUUGGGCGUAAAGAGCUCGUAGGUGGCCUGUCGCGUCGGCUGUGAGAACUCGGGGCUCGAACUCCGAGCUUGCAGUCGAUACGGGCAGGCUAGAGUUCGGGCAGGGGAGACUGGAAUUCCUGUGGUAGCGGUGGAAAUGCGGCAGAUAUCAAGGAGGAACACCGGUGGCGA
rnacentral:rRNA from 1 species